AAUGAGGCAGCCAAGAGAAAAGAUUAAACCCAUAGAUGAAGCUGAUGUGCCCAUGGCAUCGUCCUCCCUCAAAGAUGAUGAUGCAUUACAAUGAGGGAGCCAAGAGACAAGUUUAAACCCAAAGAUGAAGCUGAUGCGCCCAUGGCAUCGUCCUCCCUCAAAGAUGAUGAGCAGGGCACACCGAUCUUCCUCAUGUUGAUACGCCCAUGGCAUCGUCCUCCCUCAAAGAUGAUGAGCAGGGCACACCGAUCUUCCUCAUGUUGAUACGCCCAUGGCAUCGUCCUCCCUCAAAGAUGAUGAGCAGGGCACACCGAUCUUCCUCAUGUUGAUAUGCCCAUGGCAUCGUCCUCCCUCAAAGAUGAUGAGCAGGGCACACCGAUCUUCCUCAUGUUGAUAUGCCCAUGGCAUCGUCCUCCCUCAAAGAUGAUGAGCAGGGCACACCGAUCUUCCUCAUGUUGAUACGCC